rnacentral:rRNA from 1 species
GUCGGGAAUUUUGGGCAAUGGGCGAAAGCCUGACCCAGCAACGCCGCGUGAAGGAUGAAGUAUUUCGGUAUGUAAACUUCGAAAGAAUAGGAAGAAUAAAUGACGGUACUAUUUAUAAGCUCCGGCUAACUACGUGCCAGCAGCCGCGGUAAUACGUAGGGAGCAAGCGUUGUUCGGAUUUACUGGGCGUAAAGGGCGCGUAGGCGGCGCGGUAAGUCACUUGUGAAAUCUCUGAGCUUAACUCAGAACGGCCAAGUGAUACUGCAGUGCUAGAGUGCAGAAGGGGCAAUCGGAAUUCUUGGUGUAGCGGUGAAAUGCGUAGAUAUCAAGAGGAACACCUGAGGUGAAGACGGGUUGCUGGGCUGACACUGACGCUGAGGCGCGAAAGCCAGGGGAGCAAACGGGAUUAGAUACCCCUGUAGUCC